rnacentral:rRNA from 1 species
UACGGAGGGGGCGAGCGUUAUUCGGAAUUAUUGGGCGUAAAGGGCGCGUAGGCGGCUAGAUGUGUCAAAGGUGAAAUCCCUCGGCUCAACUGAGGAACUGCCUUUGAAACUGUCUGGCUUGAGGCCGGGAGAGGGUAGCGGAAUUCCCAGUGUAGCGGUGAAAUGCGUAGAUAUUGGGAGGAACACCAGUGGCGAAGGCGGCUACCUGGACCGGUUCUGACGCUAAGGCGCGAAAGCGUGGGUAGCAAACAGG